rnacentral:rRNA from 1 species
CGCGUGGGAACGACCUUUGGUUCGGGAUAACCCAGGGAAACUUGGACUAAUACCGGAUAAGCCCUUACGGGAAAGAUUUAUCGCCGAAAGAUCGGCCCGCGUCUGAUUAGCUAGUUGGUGAGGUAACGGCUCACCAAGGCGACGAUCAGUAGCUGGUCUGAGAGGAUGAUCAGCCACAUUGGGACUGAGACACGGCCCAA